rnacentral:rRNA from 1 species
UACAGAGGUCUCAAGCGUUGUUCGGAUUCAUUGGGCGUAAAGGGUGCGUAGGCGGCGCGGUAAGUCGGGUGUGAAAUCUCGGAGCUUAACUCCGAAACUGCAUUCGAUACUGCCGUGCUUGAGGACUGGAGAGGAGACUGGAAUUUACGGUGUAGCGGUGAAAUGCGUAGAUAUCGUAAGGAAGACCAGUGGCGAAGGCGGCAUCCUGGACCAACACUGA